GUUCACAGUUACUAAGGUAACAGAUUCUGAACAAAGACGAAAUGCUCCUGUCACAAGUCGAGUGUCAAUAUUUGAUACAAUUGAUGAAAAUUCCGAGACAGUACGUUCAAAUGGGCUUCCAGUCACACCUACAGACACCCUCACCAGUAACAGCAUCACCGCAUUAUUGUCCAAUAAAUGGAGGGAUAUUUCCAAGAAAAUAAAAGACUAUGGUGAGAAGACAAGGUUCAGGAAGAGAAUAGUUUCCAAAUGGGAGAGUCUCAAUUAUGACACAAUAGAGAAUGACCUACAUUGGCAGGAAAAAGAUAAACCGAAUAUAAAGGUAAAGCUUUUUGUAAUCAUUCUAGAAUAUUAUAUUUUUACCCUGCAUGAUUCC